rnacentral:rRNA from 1 species
GAUGAACGCUGGCGGCGUGCUUAACACAUGCAAGUCGAACGAAGCACUUUACUUGAUUUUUCGGAAUGAAAGUUCUGUGACUGAGUGGCGGACGGGUGAGUAACGCGUGGGUAACCUGCCUCAUACAGGGGGAUAACAGUUGGAAACGACUGCUAAUACCGCAUAAGCGCACAGCAUCGCAUGAUGCAGUGUGAAAAACUCCGGUGGUAUGAGAUGGACCCCGCGUUGGAUUAGCUAGUUGGAGGGUAACGGCCCACCAAGGCGACGAUCCAUAGCCGACCUGAGAGGGUGACCGGCACAUUGGGACUGAGACACGGCCCAGACUCCUACGGGAGGCAGCA